UGGGGAAUUUUGGACAAUGGGGGAAACCCUGAUCCAGCCAUCCCGCGUGUGCGAUGAGGGCCUUCGGGUUGUAAAGCACUUUUGGCAGGAAAGAAACGUCGCGGGUUAAUACCCCGCGAAACUGACGGUACCUGCAGAAUAAGCACCGGCUAACUACGUGCCAGCAGCCGCGGUAAUACGUAGGGUGCAAGCGUUAAUCGGAAUUACUGGGCGUAAAGCGUGCGCAGGCGGUUCGGAAAGAAAGAUGUGAAAUCCCAGAGCUUAACUUUGGAACUGCAUUUUUAACUACCGGGCUAGAGUGUGUCAGAGGGAGGUGGAAUUCCGCGUGUAGCAGUGAAAUGCGUAGAUAUGCGGAGGAACACCGAUGGCGAAGGCAGCCUCCUGGGAUAACACUGACGCUCAUGCACGAAAGCGUGGGGAGCAAACAGGAUUAGAUACCCUGGUAGUCCACGCCCUAAACGAUGUCAACUAGCUGUUGGGGCCUUCGGGCCUUGGUAGCGCAGCUAACGCGUGAAGUUGACCGCCUGGGGAGUACGGUCGCAAGAUUAAAACUUAAAUGAAUUGAC
rnacentral:rRNA from 1 species